rnacentral:rRNA from 1 species
UACGAAGGGGGCUAGCGUUGCUCGGAAUCACUGGGCGUAAAGGGUGCGUAGGCGGGUCUUUUAAGUCAGGGGUGAAAUCCUGGAGCUCAACUCCAGAACUGCCUUUGAUACUGAGGAUCUUGAGUUCGGGAGAGGUGAGUGGAACUGCGAGUGUAGAGGUGAAAUUCGUAGAUAUUGCAAAGAACACCAGUGGCGAAGGCGGCUCACUGGCCCCGAUACUGACGCUGAGGCACGAAAAGCGUGGGGGAGCAAACAGG